rnacentral:rRNA from 1 species
GCUGGCGGCGUGCCUAAUACAUGCAAGUCGAGCGAACAGAUAAGGAGCUUGCUCCUUUGACGUUAGCGGCGGACGGGUGAGUAACACGUGGGUAACCUACCUAUAAGACUGGAAUAACUCCGGGAAACCGGGGCUAAUGCCGGAUAACAUAUAGAACCGCAUGGUUCUAUAGUGAAAGAUGGUUUUGCUAUCACUUAUAGAUGGACCCGCGCCGUAUUAGCUAGUUGGUAAGGUAAUGGCUUACCAAGGCGACGAUACGUAGCCGACCUGAGAGGGUGAUCGGCCACACUGGAACUGAGACACGGUCCAGACUCCUACGGGAGGCAGCAGUAGGGAAUCUUCCGCAAUGGGCGAAAGCCUGACGGAGCAACGCCGCGUGAGUGAUGAAGGGUUUCGGCUCGUAAAACUCUGUUAUUAGGGAAGAACAUAUGUGUAAGUAACUGUGCAC